AGCUGUUGCCUGGGGAAAUAUUUGUCUUGAAAACAAAUUUCAAGUGUUCGAUUCACUUAACAGCUU
rnacentral:tRNA from 1 species